CAGGAAUCAUCAUCCAAUGCUACUGGCGCAGUGGCAGGAAGGAGUAACUCGUUCUGAUUUGGCCAAAGAGUUCUCCUUUGAGGAAUUUAUAAAGCAUGCCGGAAACUUUGCUAUGCUUGCGGAGCGCUUUCUGCACGAAGUUGCAUUUAAGCUCUGGAAAGCACCAAAAUAUGGAGCUUAGUUCUGUCUGAGGAGGUUCUCUCUUAAUAAGGAUGCUAGAUGAGUACUUCUUUCAAACGGGAACUGCGCAAGCGCAGAUAUUGCAAAUAAAUGAGCUCUGUAAUCUCCUAAGGUCCUCAUAUGGUACUAUCCAUGUUACAUGCCGCAAUAUACGAAGGACUCAUAGGCGUCAUUUCUAGUUA